rnacentral:pre_miRNA from 1 species
AGAUGAUCUCGACCCAAUAACCGUGUUAGAAUGUACGAUAUUUUAAGAUGGUCUCAGCGACCGUCUUAAAAUAAUGUACAUUCUAAGAUGGUUUUUGUUAGAAUCGUCUU